rnacentral:rRNA from 1 species
UACGGAGGGAGCUAGCGUUGUUCGGAAAUACUGGGCGUAAAGCGCGCGUAGGCGGACCUGCAAGUCGGGGGUGAAAGCCCGGGGCUCAACCCCGGAAUUGCCUUUAAGACUGCAUCGCUUGAAUCCGGGAGAGGUGAGUGGAAUUCCGAGUGUAGAGGUGAAAUUCGUAGAUAUUCGGAAGAACACCAGUGGCGAAGGCGGCUCACUGGACCGGCAUUGACGCUGAGGUGCGAAAGCGUGGGGAGCAAACAGG